GAGAAAAAAAAAUGGAGAAGAAUUAUUAAGAUGAAGUGGUUAACAACUAAUAUAGAUUGAAAUGCCAAAGGAACACAUCUCCCAUACUUUUGAAAUAUGCUCAGGGUGUGAAAUGUAUGUCACAGAGUUAAUGAAAACAACACGUUUCUGACUUCUUAAAGUCCAUUUACUCUGUUUAGCCAGAACAUGCAAAACAUUCAACUUGUUGGAGAUUCAGCUCAGCAGAUUAAAGUUAGAAAUGGAUACUUAUCCUAGAACUGGAGCCCUUAAGCUUAUCUAGUUUUCCCAAUCCUCCCCCAUAACCCUCCACCGAUCAAUUCCCUUUGCCCCUGUAGAAUGUAAGUCUCUUUUCGGGGUUAGAGAUGUUCUCAACUUUUGCCUUUCUAUCCCCCAGCACCUAACAGAGUGUCCAAUCAGGAGUAAGUAUAUAAUGUUUAUGAAAUUGAAUAGUCCAUAACUCAGUUAUUAAUUGGACCUUUUGACAAUACAAUGGCACGUACAAAGUAGAGGUGCCGGGUGCUAAGCUUGACGCUUGGAAGAUGAAAUGCUACUUCUCCAGGACAGGAACACACGUGUUGAUUUUCCACUGUGUAAUAUAGAGGUUUCAUAAAGCAUGGUGAUGGCACGUGUGUGUGUAAGUUUCAAACUUUCAACUUCUUUGCUAGCUCUGUCAGCCCAUUAAUUGUAUUUAUAAACAAGGGCUCUCUCAUCUUCUUUACAUGUCAUAUCACGUAGGCCAGGCGCGUUGUGCCCCUUUCCUUGUUCCUGAAGACUGAGGUUAAAAGGAGCCAAAGAGUCAUCUUGUCAGCAUUUGAAGAAAAAGAAAACAUUCAUCUCUUUCUCAGCACCAGGCAGUGUGAUGGUCACACUGACACUAAGCGGCUUUCCUUACUCCCGCCUCUUCUUUCAUUCUCUUAUUUCCCUGUAGAUUGUCAAGCUGCACAGUUUCCCACACUCAAAUGAUGUCCAUUUAUCAGCUUGUGAUUUUUGGCAGAUGGACAGGAAAUGACUGAACCUGGCAAAGGCCAGCUCCAGUGAACUGCACAACAUCCCCUCUCUUUCCACCCCACCUCCAGUUACCACCACAGUCAGGCGAUUUGCUCUAAGAUAGGGAAAAUGCCAUCACUGCCACUGUCAUUGCUUCUCAUUUUCCUAACAUUAUUUGGAGGUGGGGAGCCUUUGUGUACGUCAUGGAACUGCCCAAAUUUCCCUUUGCCCAUGGGCUGGAGCACACGGCAGUCCAGAUAAACCUCAUGUGUUUUCUGCAGAGGCCCUGGGCUGUCUAAAGUCAACUUCCUGAAGCAAUUAGUUGCUGAAUACUUCAUCACCACCACCCCCAAUACUCCCUCCCUAUCCCUUUCAACUCCCUGCCACUUGUGAAAGAAUAACAAUAAUAAUAUGUGUCCAGGAGAGUCAGGAAUUGUAUCAAGUGCGUCUGUGGCAGUUAGCUGGCACCAUUUUGUAGUUCUGAAUUCCUCCUAGAAAUAGAGCUGAACUCCACUGAUUCAUUUACAAGCUGAUAAGAAUCAAUGAAGCCAACCUUCUUAGCUACUUGCCUACCCUAAAUGCUUACUAUGAGCAAACUCUUGUUUUGAAGAAUGUAUUCGAGUAGCAAUCUACUUUGUUAAGAACAGCAGAUCUCUGUUUCAUAGACUAGGGAUCUGAAACACAACAAGUCAGUGAACAGAUCAAGGCUUGUGGGUCCCAAUCUCUAGCCACCAGAGCUCCUCUUUAAGAAUCACUUAUUCAUUGAUUUGUUCAUUCUGCCUAACCACCAGAUCUAUCCUAGGGACAUCUUAGAGACCUAGUUACUUCCAGAAAUACUAAAGGUGACAAAGAAAUGCAGAUGGAAAUAGGUGAAUGAAACCACAAGUUCUCCAAGGAUGACGUGAAGAUAAUUUCUUCAGAGUACAAUCCACUAGAAAAGAUUCAGGCCAGCAACCUUCACUCUGGGCCACUUCUCAUACUCUGAUGAAAAGGCUAAAGAACUCACAGCUUAGUGUUCAACUUCAAUGCAUCCAUGUGAAAGCAAAAAUAAAAGCAAUCCACCUCACCUCUUCUUCUGUGCAACACAUGUCUGCAUGUAUUUACUUGAAAACUAUCCCCUGCAUAAUCAUUCUCUUAACUAACUAACCACCUCUGAUUAUGUUCACCAAAUUCUUCUUUUUAGUAGUCUGCUACACGAUUCAGGAAUGUAAUAAACGCUAAAAAUACAAUUUGAGAUCAUUUUUGAAAUGUUACUUCAUUUUUCUUCCUCUGUCUUGCUUCUAUUUACAUAUAAAUGUGUCCUGUUUAUGUUUGAUGAGUAAUUUAUAUGGCCAAAGACUGCCAUUUCUGGGGUUCGACUCCCAAAUCCCUGGAGUUCACAUCUGGGGUAUUUUCUCAGUAAACAAAAGCUUUAUCUGUUUGGGGCAGGGAGAUGAGGUGCAAUAAUACAAUGUAACUAGGAUUUCUCUGUAUCAAUACCCACGUAUUUGCUGCAUUUGGCAAAGGUCUAUUCUUUAUCAGCAGAAAAGCUAGGUUUUUGAUGAUGGGGAACAUAGUUAGUGAGAAAAGAAGAAUUAGAACUACAGGUAGGGAAAUUACCUUAUCAUAAAUAAGCCUGUAUCUAUGAAAGUGUUAAGAACCCCUGGGAAAUCCUAUCAAUCCAUAAAGUGACUUUCAAUGAAAAUUCUUUUAACGAAAUUUUCACUUGUUUGGGAUGGCUUCAGGAUCCAAAUCUUGUCUGAAAGUGCCAGAACAAACUUUUGAGGUCUCUUCCAAUUCUUUCACUCUAGGAAUCUGUGCCAUCUUUCCCUUUCAUGAUUUAGGACAAUUUAAUUUCAAAUUGAAACCUUAUUCUAGUAAGAUCAGAGGUUGAAAGAAGAGAGAGGCAUGCUGUAGUGAAUGACAUGGGAGAUGGAAAGAAAGCAGUUGGCAGAUCAGAUGCCAAAAGUUUAGUCUUGUUAACUAACUAAGCAGUGAUGUACAUACUGUGGGGAGUGGGGAGCGGGAAUAACAUCUGCUUGAAAAGAUGAAAGGGGAAGAACCAUCAGAAGUGGGCUUCCCCUUGCUGCCCACUGAAGCACCUGACGCUAGAAGGGAAUACCCUUAAGUGGGUGUGAGCGGGGAAAAAUCAUUCAGCAUGUCACUGUGCAGUCUAGGUCCUCUCUGAACCAGGUACUGUGACAUGCCUCAGUGUGGGAUCCUCUAAGACUAGGGACUGAACCCAUUUUUUCGCCAUCCAUCUCUGUCCAGUAGUAUUCCCACUGAGAAUCCUAGGAAGGCAAGGGCUCCUUGGAAGAAGGAUGGCAUAUGGUUUCCAAAGCCUUUCAAUACUGAUGGAAUGAGGUCAAAAGCCACUUCUGCCCAGAACUGCUUAACUCCUCACCAUCACAAUCUGGAUUCAAAAUUCCAGCCUGGACAUGGCCAACCUGUUUGAGCAACAGUACCACAGAAGACCCACAAGAUAUGUUUGUCCUCGAUUCUUUUUACCGUUAUUUCUAAUUUACUUCAUGAGAUCAAGGGGCACAUCUGGAGCUGGCAUCAGUCACUACAAACUGAGUGCCAAACACAUUUGAUGAGCAUGGCCUCAGCAAGCCUCUGAUCUUCUCCAGAACCAUAAGCCUUAAUAAGUGCAUGGUGACUGAUUGAUUGAUGAUGGAGUGAUAAGCCUACUAACAUCCUCAGAAGGAAAGUAUGAUCAUGAACACCUUUCACAGACGGAAUAAAGACAGAAACAGACAACUGAGGGAUGAGAUCACUGCUAAACUGAGAGGAAAGCCCACGGUUCCCAUAAUUCUGAAUGCUUGCUCUGAAAGCUGGAAACAGGACUCAGGCACAGUCAUGGCUGAUUUAGUUACAGUACUAAAUGUCAAAGGCAAAGAUGCAACCAUGGGGCUGCCAAAAAACAGUUAUAAAAGUACAUGGCACAAAAGUGAACUAUUUCAAUUCAAGGAAAGAUGUUUCAACCUGGAAAAGAAACAUUCCCCAGACUUAGCCAGUUCUCCAUGUACUGAUGCCAUUGGCCUAAAAGGGAAUGCUUCAUUAUAUUCAAUUACCUAAGGACUGAACGGCAGGGCAGAAGAAGGUAGGAGAAGGAAAGAGGAAAGUUGGAUCCAUCAGGAGAGAUCCCUGGGGGCACAACCCCCAGCACUCCACAGCCAUGUGUCUAUCUGAAAGAAGUUGGGAUUGAGACCCAGAGGUGGGAAAAGCAACAUUACCCAAGCAUUUCCAGUUGAAUCAAAUUACCUCUACUUCUUUGACACAAAACCUAAGCAAAUAAACAUUUAAAAGUCAGCAUUAUGCUUUUAGAGUGCCUGGAUGAUUCUAACUAUCUUGGGAUUAAGACGUCCAUGAAAAAGACUGUUUUGGGGGAAAAAAAGACAUUACCAAAAAGUAAGAUGGAAAGGAUGAAACCCAAAGAUGCUGUAAAAGAGACAGAAGGUACAAGCAGAAUAUCGUGUGCUUGGAGCUCCCUGUGCUGUACUCAUUCAGUGUGCUGACUGUUUUAAAAUUCCAUCUACAAACUCCAAUUAUUUCUUUUGACAGUUUCUUUUUGACAAACCAAUUCAGAACAUCUGCACUGAUAGUUGCUAAUUUAUACUAGAAGCUGUGUCACUGAUUGCUACACUGAACAGCAUGACCUAAGGAGAAUUUCUCAAGUCUGCAAGCUGUUAGAUGCCUGAACUCUUCAAAAGGACCUGAAUAUGAGUCCUAUGGAAUCAGGUGUGAAAACUUCAGAAGACUAGGUAAUAAUGCACUCCUUAUAUUUUAAUUAUUUACACAUUAGAAUGUGUAAGUCUGCUAUUCAUUUAUUCAUCCAUUUAACAAGCACUUAUUAGGCACCUACCACAUACAGGUUCUAGGGAACCUGGAGAACCUAGGGGAAAUGUGAAAUAUUGCCUGAUCAUGAAGCACUUCCAUCCUGUGUGAAAUGGGGAAGGCAGAGACGUUACCUUAGAGAUAUUGGUUUUCUCAUCUAUGCAGUUAUCAGUUAUGGAGCCCCUAAGACCUUUAAGAAUCAGAGGAUUAAGAAUCACAAAGGUUCUUACAAACCACGGUCCAUCAUUUUCAUUUUAUGGAUGAGGAAACAGGCCCAAAAGGUGAAAUGAUAUGCCCUCACACAGAUAAAAAGCAAUAAAGUUACUCAAACGUAGGUCAUCUAGGAAUCUAGAUCUACUCUUCCUUCCAUUAUAUUCUUCUACCUGCAUAAUCUGAGCACAGUGAAGUCCCUUUUAUGUUGGGAGAGGUUUCAGUUUCUCACAGUACAUCUUGGGAGAGGUAGAGGAGAGGAAGGGCACCGGGGAACAAGUGUGAGAGCACCAGCCCCAUUUCUUUCUUCCUGACAUAUGGUACCUUUCCUGAUACCAUCUUUACUGGGGUGAAAAAAUUCACCUUCAGAGAAAGACCAAGAAUUCCAUCCCUUAAAACUGUCUCAUUUAAGAUAAAUUUUUUCACUUGUUGGUUUAACUAUCCUGACAAUUGAUGCUUAUCUUUGACAAAAGGGAAAUAGCAGAAUAAGCAAGUUUCUUUCUUAAUUGCAUGUAUAAAAGUGAGUAUGUUGCAAUGAACUUGUCACUGAUCAAGCAGGAUAGUGAAGCUACCUUCUUUCCUCCUUUGAAGAUGAAUGGUGCUCAUUCUGCCUUUACAUCCUUUACUUUUGGAGCUCCUAAAGCCUUUUAGGCUUUGAGCAUACUCUAUUAUUCCAAAUUAGCUAGAAGGACACUUCUGAGUAUGACUUGUCCAUUCAAGGGCCUAUUUUCCUACUCAUAAAUGUCUGACAAAGAUGGGCUUAUAUGAUUCUCCAAAUCCUUAUUGUUGAAGCCUAGGAUCAUGAGCCUUGGAGUUCAUUAAUUACUCAGUACCCAAAAGAACAAUGUAGAUGUGGAUAGGUCCCAAGAAUGAACUCACAAGAUUUCCAGCUUAAAAGCUGGUCUCAAUACUCACCCAAACCCAAACUCAACCCUUUGACUCCUCUGAGACCUCACCACAGAUUAGAGAUCUUUUAUGUUUUUAAUUCUAAGUUUCAAAAGCAAUAAAAUAAUUUAUCAGAACUGUUAAUGUUUCUGGAAUAAUCUUUGUUUUAUGACGUCUAUCAGUGCUUCUCUUAAUCCAUCUAAUUAUGACUAAGUGGCAAGGAAAAUUUCCUUUCAGGGGACUGUAUUUUAGUAUUCUCAAGCAAAACAAUGACAAAUGAAAAGUUUCAAAAACUCUCUCAAAUAAUACACACGCUCUCUGCGUGCAAACAUCUUCUGUCAUGAUACCUGAUUUUUUUUCUGCCUUAUAGUAUGAUUGUUUUUCCCUGGAAGCUAAAUGCAAAAAAAUUUCAAUCAGAAAUGCACAUACCCUUCAAUGUACAUUCAAUAGGCAAGUGCCAAGUUAACCAUUUCACCAUCCUCCAGUGGAAGAAUCCACGUGGCUUUCAAAGCCAGUUCGUCCAAAGAUCCAUUAACCAAAGCCAAAAGCCAUGCCAUACGUCCAGUAGGAUUUUGUGUCUCUGUUUGGUUGUUUUCCUUCAGUCUGACCAAUGUAACAUUUUAAUGUAAAAAGUGAGCUGCCAGCACAAGGUACGGGGGAUGAAAAUGAGGGUGUGGCAGCUAAAUGUCAUCGUGGGCAAAUUGCUGAUUGUGUUUAUCUGCUGCCAAGCAGUAAGAAGAUAAUUUUAGAGCUAACACAGGAAGUGGAGGAGGCUGAUGACAGAGAUGUGGGCCCUACUCACCAUUUUCAUAAGCAAACAAAACACUUUCCACACUUUCAUUCCACGAUGUUGUGAAACUCUAAGAAGGUUGCAUUUAGCCAAGGGCAGUGAAAGUCCCUACCUGUGUCGUGUAAAGGUUUUGGCAUUAAACAGCUCUCAACAUAUCAAUGACAUA